rnacentral:tRNA from 1 species
UCUUCCGUAGUUCAGUUGGUAGAACGCCUGACUGUUAAUCAGGAUGCCUUAUUGGAAUCGGCGGUUCGAGCCCGCCCGGAAGAG